rnacentral:rRNA from 1 species
UACGUAGGGGGCGAGCGUUGUCCGGAAUUACUGGGCGUAAAGCGCACGUAGGCGGGUUUACAAGUCGAUUGUGAAAGCCCCGGGCUCAAUCCGGGAAUGGCAGUCGAAACUGUAAGUCUUGAAUACCUGAGAGGGUGACGGAAUUCCUGGUGUAGAAGUGAAAUUCGUAGAUAUCAGGAGGAACACCGGAGGCGAAGGCGGUUGCCUGGCAGUGUAUUGACGCUGAGGUGCGAAAGCGUGGGGAGCAAACAGG